GGGGCGUGCGGCGACUGAGCUUAGGCUAGGGUUUUCUGUUUUUUUCAUUUGUUUUGGGCUAGGGUUUGUAAUGGGUUAUUGGGUUUGAAUUGGGUAUUGGGCUAAUGGAUUUGUUGGCCUGUUUAUUGGUUUUGGGUCAUUGUAAUUCUGGACUGGACAUUAAUUUUAUUUUGGUUUUUAUUUGGUUUUAUUUUUUAUCUUCGGUGUUAUUGAUUUAAUUGGGCCCGAGCAAAUUUGACCAAUUACAAUACAAUUAUUGUUUUACAUAUUUUUAAACAAAUAUUUUUUACUUAAAAUAUCCAUAUACAUUUUUUU
rnacentral:lncRNA from 1 species